rnacentral:rRNA from 1 species
CAUGGCCUUUUGAUUAUAAUUUAAGGUCAGGCCUGCCCUAUGAAAUGAAUAGUUUUAAAUGGCUGCAGUAGACUGACUGUGCAAAGGUAGCAUAAUAAUUAGUUUUUUAAUUGGGAACUGGUAUGAAUGGUCUAACGAGAAAAAGACUGUCUCAAUUUAAUUUAAAUUAGAAUUUUAUCUUUAAGUAAAAAAGCUUAAAUGAUCUUAAAAGACGAGAAGACCCUAUAGAGUUUUAUAAAAUUUUGUAAUUUUAAAAGUUAAAGUAUUGUAGAUUUAAUUUUAUAGGAUUUUAUUUGGUUGGGGAGAUUAAAAAAUUAAAAGAACUUUUUUUAUUGUAUACCAUUGAUAUAUGAUUAAGUGAUCCAUAAUUUAUGAUUAUAAGAUUAAAUUACCUUAGGGAUAACAGCGUAAUUUUUUUUAGAGUUCUUAUCGAAAAAAAAGUUUGCGACC